rnacentral:lncRNA from 1 species
ACCUUGGGUCGGUUUCGCUUAGUAGCUGAGCAGGCUUGAAAGGUCCCUUAAGCUGUGUUCUCUGUCCUGCCGCUGGAUGCUGUGGAGGGUGCUCAGGCAAGCUCCGAAGUUGCGGCAUGGAUGCAUUGACCUAUGAUGAUGUGUAUGUGAACUUCACUCGAGAAGAAUGGGCUUUGCUGAAUCCUUCACAGAAGAGUCUCUACAAAGAUGUGAUGUUGGAGACCUACAGGAACCUCAAUGCUGCUACAAUUGGGAAGACCAUAAUAUUGAAGAACAUUGUCAAAGUUCCAGAAGACAUGGAAGGUAAUUUUCAUGUUCAAGUUGGUAUGGAUAUGCUUAUAAAGAAAAGUUAAUGUGUCCUGGAACUUUUAAAGAAAAGCAACAGUGUUUAAAAAAAUAAAAUAAAAAAAGCA